rnacentral:sRNA from 15 species
UCGGAUAUCAUUAUUGGAAGGACUGUUUUACGGUCCGGAGGGGAAGAUGGGUGAGAAUCCCACGCAAGCCCGUUACUGUGAAGCGGACGAACGUCCGGAAGCCAGAGGACCUCUUUAUGUUUCAGAUACAUUU